CCUACGGGCGGCAGCAGUGGGGCAUAUUGCACAAUGGGGGAAACCCUGAUGCAGCGACGCCGCGUGAAGGAUGAAGGAUUUCGGUAUGUAAACUUCUAUCAGCAGGGAAGAAAAUGACGGUACCUGACUAAGAAGCCCCGGCUAACUACGCGCCAGCAGCCCCGGUAAUACGUAGGGGGCACGCGUUAUCCGGAUGUAAUGGGUGUAAAGGGAGCGUGGACGGUCUGGCAAGUCUGAUGUGAAAACCCGGGUCUCAACCCCGGAACUGCAUUGGAAACUGCCGAACUCGAGUGUCGGAGAGGCAAGUGGAAUGCCUAGUGUAGCGGUGAAAUGCGUAGAUAUUAGGAGGAACACCAGUGGCGAAGGCGGCCUGCUGGACGAUGACUGACGUUGAGGCUCGAAAGCGUGGGGAGCAAACAGGAUUAGAUACCCUGGUAGUC
rnacentral:rRNA from 1 species